rnacentral:rRNA from 6 species
UAAUUGAAGAGUUUGAUCAUGGCUCAGAUUGAACGCUGGCGGCAGGCCUAACACAUGCAAGUCGAG